rnacentral:rRNA from 1 species
GAUGAACGCUAGCGGCAGGCCUAAUACAUGCAAGUCGAACGGUGUCUUCGGACAUAGUGGCGCACGGGUGCGUAACACGUAUGCAACCUACCUUACAUUGGGGGAUAGCCUUUCGAAAGGGAGAUUAAUACCGCAUAAGACAGUAGCUGGGCAUCCAGCAGCUGUUAAAGAUUGAUCGAUGUAAGCUGGGCAUGCGUCCAAUUAGCUAGUUGGUGAGGUAACGGCUCACCAAGGCAAUGAUUGGUAGGGGAACUGAGAGGUCAAUCCCCCACACAGGCACUGCGAUACGGGCCAGACUCCUACGGGAGGCAGCAGUAGGGAAUAUUGGGCAAUGGACGCAAGUCUGACCCAGCCAUGCCGCGUGCAGGAUGAAGGCGUUAUGCGUUGUAAACUGCUUUUAUACAGGAAGAAACGACUCUUGCGAGAGGCAUUGACGGUACUGUAUGAAUAAGCACCGGCUAACUCCGUGCCAGCAGCCGCGGUAACAC